rnacentral:rRNA from 1 species
UACGUAGGGUGCGAGCGUUGUCCGGAAUUACUGGGCGUAAAGAGCUCGUAGGUGGUUUGUCGCGUCUGCUGUGAAAACUCGGGGCUUAACCCCGGGCCUGCAGUGGGUACGGGCAGACUAGAGUGUGGUAGGGGAGACUGGAAUUCCUGGUGUAGCGGUGAAAUGCGCAGAUAUCAGGAGGAACACCGAUGGCGAAGGCAGGUCUCUGGGCCACUACUGACGCUGAGAAGCGAAAGCAUGGGGAGCGAACAGG